GGGUAAUGGGGCCCCACAGGCUUACUGAUCCUAACCAAACUCCGAAUACCUGAGAGUACUAUGCGGCAGACACACUACGGGUGCUAAGGUCCGUGGUGGAAAGGGAAACAGCCCUGACCGACAGCUAAGGUCCCUAAAUUAUGGCUAAGUUGGAAAGGAUGUAGGAAUCCCAAAACAACCAGGAGGUUGGCUUAGAAGCAGCCAUCCUUUAAAGAAAGCGUAAUAGCUCACUGGUCGAGUCGGCCCGCGCGGAAGAUGUAACGGGGCUAAGCGGUGUACCGAAGCUGCGGAUGCAUGCUCUGCAUGCAUGGUAGGGGAGCGUUCUGUA
rnacentral:rRNA from 15 species